AAGACACUAGUAAAAUACCAUUACAUUGCCUUGUCAAGGCAAAAUCGUGGGUUAAACACCCACGUGUCUUA
rnacentral:tRNA from 4 species